rnacentral:rRNA from 1 species
AAUAUGGGGGGACCAUCCUCCAAGGCUAAAUACUCCUGACUGACCGAUAGUGAACCAGUACCGUGAGGGAAAGGCGAAAAGAACCCCGGCGAGGGGAGUGAAAAAGAACCUGAAACCGUGUACGUACAAGCAGUGGGAGCCUCUUUUAUGGGGUGACUGCGUACCUUUUGUAUAAUGGGUCAGCGACUUAUAUUCUGUAGCAAGGUUAACCGAAUAGGGGAGCCGAAGGGAAACCGAGUCUUAACUGGGCGUUAAGUUGCAGGGUAUAGACCCGAAACCCGGUGAUCUAGCCAUGGGCAGGUUGAAGGUUGGGUAACACUAACUGGAGGACCGAACCGACUAAUGUUGAAAAAUUAGCGGAUGACUUGUGGCUGGGGGUGAAAGGCCAAUCAAACCGGGAGAUAGCUGGUUCUCCCCGAAAGCUAUUUAGGUAGCGCCUCGUGAAUUCAUCUCCGGGGGUAGAGCACUGUUUCGGCAAGGGGGUCAUCCCGACUUACCAACCCGAUGCAAACUGCGAAUACCGGAGAAUGUUAUCACGGGAGACACACGGCGGGUGCUAACGUCCGUCGUGAAGAGGGAAACAACCCAGACCGCCAGCUAAGGUCCCAAAGUCAUGGUUAAGUGGGAAACGAUGUGGGAAGGCCCAGACAGCCAGGAUGUUGGCUUAGAAGCAGCCAUCAUUUAAAGAAAGCGUAAUAGCUCACUGGUCGAGUCGGCCUGCGCGGAAGAUGUAACGGGGCUAAACCAUGCACCGAAGCUGCGGCAGCGACGCUUAUGCGUUGUUGGGUAGGGGAGCGUUCUGUAAGCCUGUGAAGGUGUACUGUGAGGUAUGCUGGAGGUAUCAGAAGUGCGAAUGCUGACAUAAGUAACGAUAAAGCGGGUGAAAAGCCCGCUCGCCGGAAGACCAAGGGUUCCUGUCCAACGUUAAUCGGGGCAGGGUGAGUCGACCCCUAAGGCGAGGCCGAAAGGCGUAGUCGAUGGGAAACAGGUUAAUAUUCCUGUACUUGGUGUUACUGCGAAGGGGGGACGGAGAAGGCUAUGUUGGCCGGGCGACGGUUGUCCCGGUUUAAGCGUGUAGGCUGGUUUUCCAGGCAAAUCCGGAAAAUCAAGGCUGAGGCGUGAUGACGAGGCACUACGGUGCUGAAGCAACAAAUGCCCUGCUUCCAGGAAAAGCCUCUAAGCAUCAGGUAACAUCAAAUCGUACCCCAAACCGACACAGGUGGUCAGGUAGAGAAUACCAAGGCGCUUGAGAGAACUCGGGUGAAGGAACUAGGCAAAAUGGUGCCGUAACUUCGGGAGAAGGCACGCUGAUAUGUAGGUGAAGCGACUUGCUCGUGGAGCUGAAAUCAGUCGAAGAUACCAGCUGGCUGCAACUGUUUAUUAAAAACACAGCACUGUGCAAACACGAAAGUGGACGUAUACGGUGUGACGCCUGCCCGGUGCCGGAAGGUUAAUUGAUGGGGUUAGCGGUAACGCGAAGCUCUUGAUCGAAGCCCCGGUAAACGGCGGCCGUAACUAUAACGGUCCUAAGGUAGCGAAAUUCCUUGUCGGGUAAGUUCCGACCUGCACGAAUGGCGUAAUGAUGGCCAGGCUGUCUCCACCCGAGACUCAGUGAAAUUGAACUCGCUGUGAAGAUGCAGUGUACCCGCGGCAAGACGGAAAGACCCCGUGAACCUUUACUAUAGCUUGACACUGAACAUUGAGCCUUGAUGUGUAGGAUAGGUGGGAGGCUUUGAAGUGUGGACGCCAGUCUGCAUGGAGCCGACCUUGAAAUACCACCCUUUAAUGUUUGAUGUUCUAACGUUGGCCCCUGAUCGGGGUUGCGGACAGUGUCUGGUGGGUAGUUUGACUGGGGCGGUCUCCUCCUAAAGAGUAACGGAGGAGCACGAAGGUUGGCUAAUCCUGGUCGGACAUCAGGAGGUUAGUGCAAUGGCAUAAGCCAGCUUGACUGCGAGCGUGACGGCGCGAGCAGGUGCGAAAGCAGGUCAUAGUGAUCCGGUGGUUCUGAAUGGAAGGGCCAUCGCUCAACGGAUAAAAGGUACUCCGGGGAUAACAGGCUGAUACCGCCCAAGAGUUCAUAUCGACGGCGGUGUUUGGCACCUCGAUGUCGGCUCAUCACAUCCUGGGGCUGAAGUAGGUCCCAAGGGUAUGGCUGUUCGCCAUUUAAAGUGGUACGCGAGCUGGGUUUAGAACGUCGUGAGACAGUUCGGUCCCUAUCUGCCGUGGGCGCUGGAGAACUGAGGGGGGCUGCUCCUAGUACGAGAGGACCGGAGUGGACGCAUCACUGGUGUUCGGGUUGUCAUGCCAAUGGCACUGCCCGGUAGCUAAAUGCGGAAGAGAUAAGUGCUGAAAGCAUCUAAGCACGAAACUUGCCCCGA